CACACACCUUUGGCUUGGAGUCAGGCAGCCAGAGUCCCAGAAGACAGUCUUUUCAGUAGAAAGCAGCAAGCUUUUAAAUUUUCACUGCACAUUGUUUUAUUAAAACUUCUGCAGCUGGUUAAAUGACUUUUCAGAGGAAACUUGUCCCAUUGCCGUGAACCAAAGGGGAGGGAUGAAGGUAAUUACGUUCUCCCCGUUCGACAGCAAAUGGUUCCCUGUACCUAUUUCAGGGGCCAGCUACCCAUGAGCAAACCUCCUGAGCUCUGACUGCUCUUCCCUUUUUACAGCAUCCUGAGCUACCUCAGGGCAGCUCUGAGGCAGCCUUGGGUAUGUGCCAUACACCCACCACGAAGAAGCCAGCCAGCCAAAUGGACCAAAGGUGCCACAGGCUCUCUUCUUUUGACGAAGCCAACAUGUUUUGCAAACACUGAAUUGGUCAAGAUAGAUGCUUUCAUGAACACUAAAAUUCAUCCAUAUAAAGUGCUGGGAGUGGAUGAGUAAAAGAUGGGUAAGCAGGCCUGU
rnacentral:lncRNA from 1 species